AGCUCACACUGGACCCAAACACAGCACACACACGCCUCUCUCUGUCUGAAGGGAACAGAAAGUAUCAUUGAUCAGCUUGUUGGCUCGGUCCUAAUUGAUGUGUUCUCUGUCACCUGGAGCUGCAUGGAAAAUGGUCCAGGAACUAAAGGACAAUUCAGGACUAGUCAGCCCACUACAAGCUGGUAUCACUUACUUUCUACUAAACUAUAUGGUCUGGUUUCCCAGACACAGAUGAAUCCUAGUCCUGGACUAAACAGUAUGUUCAAUGUAGAUGUCCAGGAAACCGGCCCUAAAUGUGUCAUCUUUCAUCCUCCCAUACUGCUCAGUCCAGCAACAUUAAACCUGUCCAGCAGGUGGUGCUGUUGACCAAACAAUAAAACCAGCAGAUAUCUUGACUUGCCACUCAGUAUAUCAGUAAUGUUCAGAAUAGUACUUUAAUAUCAUUGGAGAUUGAUGGUCUUUUUAAUCCACUAUCCAGAGUCAGGAACAGAUGAAGUUAGGUCUGCUACUGUUCAGUGAUUAAAUAUGAUUUAUGGUGAUGGGAAAUAAUAAAAAACACU